rnacentral:rRNA from 1 species
UACGGAGGGUGCGAGCGUUGUCCGGAAUCACUGGGCGUAAAGGGCGCGUAGGCGGCGCGGGGAGUCAACGGUGAAAGCUCGGGGCUCAACCCCGAGUCGGCCGUGCGAACUGCUGGGCUUGAGCACUGUAGAGGCAGGCGGAAUUCCGGGUGUAGCGGUGGAAUGCGUAGAGAUCCGGAAGAACACCGGUGGCGAAGGCGGCCUGCUGGGCAGUAGCUGACACUGAGGCGCGACAGCGUGGGGAGCAAACAGG